rnacentral:rRNA from 1 species
UACGUAGGGGGCAAGCGUUGUCCGGAAUCAUUGGGCGUAAAGCGCGUGUAGGCGGCUCGAUAAGUCUGCUGUGAAAGUCCAGGGCUCAACCCUGGGAUGCCGGUGGAUACUGUCGAGCUCGAGUCCGGAAGAGGCGAGUGGAAUUCCUGGUGUAGCGGUGAAAUGCGCAGAUAUCAGGAGGAACACCAAUGGCGAAGGCAGCUCGCUGGACCGGUUCUGACGCUGAGGCGCGAAAGCGUGGGGAGCAAACGGG